rnacentral:rRNA from 1 species
CUAGGAAUCUGCCUGGUAGUGGGGGACAACGUUUCGAAAGGAACGCUAAUACCGCAUACGUCCUACGGGAGAAAGCAGGGGACCUUCGGGCCUUGCGCUAUCAGAUGAGCCUAGGUCGGAUUAGCUAGUUGGUGAGGUAAUGGCUCACCAAGGCGACGAUCCGUAACUGGUCUGAGAGGAUGAUCAGUCACACUGGAACUGAGACACGGUCCAGACUCCUACGGGAGGCAGCAGUGGGGAAUAUUGGACAAUGGGCGAAAGCCUGAUCCAGCCAUGCCGCGUGUGUGAAGAAGGUCUUCGGAUUGUAAAGCACUUUAAGUUGGGAGGAAGGGCAUUAACCUAAUACGUUAAUGUUUUGACGUUACCGACAGAAUAAGCACCGGCUAACUCUGUGCCAGCAGCCGCGGUAAUACAGAGGGUGCAAGCGUUAAUC